rnacentral:rRNA from 1 species
GAUGAACGCUGGCGGCAUGCCUAAUACAUGCAAGUCGAGCGAACAGAUAAGGAGCUUGCUCCUUUGACGUUAGCGGCGGACGGGUGAGUAACACGUGGAUAACCUACCUAUAAGACUGGGAUAACUUCGGGAAACCGGAGCUAAUACCGGAUAACAUAUUGAACCGCAUGGUUCAAUAGUGAAAGGCGGCUUUGCUGUCACUUAUAGAUGGAUCCGCGCCGUAUUAGCUAGUUGGUAAGGUAACGGCUUACCAAGGCAACGAUACGUAGCCGACCUGAGAGGGUGAUCGGCCACACUGGAACUGAGACACGGUCCAGACUCCUACGGGAGGCAGCAGUAGGGAAUCUUCCGCAAUGGGCGAAAGCCUGACGGAGCAACGCCGCGUGAGUGAUGAAGGUCUUCGGAUCGUAAAACUCUGUUAUCAGGGAAGAACAAAUGUGUAAGUAACUGUGCACAUCUUGACGGUACCUGAUCAGAAAGCCACGGCUAACUACGUG